rnacentral:pre_miRNA from 1 species
CAAAACCCCGAGACUGGGGGGAAGAAGGGACAGCACAACACAAAGUCUCAAACACAGCUCAAAUUUAUUAGAAAUGAAAAAGGAGGAGGAGGAACUUCGUUUUCCCGAACACACGAGAGAGGGAGGACAUUGACCAAUAGCCAUAAAUUUCAGCUGUGUUUGAGACUUUGUGUUGUGCUGUCCCUUCUUCCCCCCAGCCUCGGGGUUUUG